rnacentral:tRNA from 1 species
GCCGAAGUGGCGGAACUUGGCAGACGCACUAGAUUCAGGAUCUAGCGGUGGCAACACCGUCGGGGUUCGAAUCCCCGCUUCGGCACCA